CCGCGAAGGUUACUAUUAUCGAGGGUCGUGUCAUGCGCCGCGACAGAUGCAUGGACAGAUAUGUCCCCCAUGGGUCCCGGACUGAGAGACAGCGGGUGUGUAUCGUUAGGGAAGACAUGCAUCACUAUACUUGACAUUGCAUCUCAUGGCAUUACACAUUUUAUUAUUGAUGAACUUGAACACGUGUUUUGUUGAUCUUGUGAGUGUUUCUCUGUGAAGCUUGUGAC
rnacentral:lncRNA from 1 species